GAUGAACGCUAGCGGCAGGCUUAAUACAUGCAAGUCGAGGGGCAGCAUGAUUGUAGCAAUACAAUUGAUGGCGACCGGCAAACGGGUGCGGAACACGUACACAACCUUCCAACAAGUGGGGGAUAGCCCAGAGAAAUUUGGAUUAAUACCCCGUAACAUAGCGAUGUGGCAUCACAUUGCUAUUAUAGAUUUUUCGCUUGUUGAUGGGUGUGCGGCUGAUUAGAUAGUUGGCGGGGUAACGGCCCACCAAGUCUACGAUCAGUAGCUGAUGUGAGAGCAUGAUCAGCCACACGGGCACUGAGACACGGGCCCGACUCCUACGGGAGGCAGCAGUAAGGAAUAUUGGACAAUGGACGCAAGUCUGAUCCAGCCAUGCCGCGUGAAGGAUGAAGGCGUUAUGCGUUGUAAACUGCUUUUAUACAGGAAGAAACGACUCUUGCGAGAGGCAUUGACGGUACUGUAUGAAUAAGCACCGGCUAACUCCGUGCCAGCCGCCGCGGUAAAAC
rnacentral:rRNA from 1 species